rnacentral:rRNA from 1 species
AAGUCCGUAACAAGGUUUCCGUAGGUGAACCUGCGGAAGGAUCAUUAUCAAUUUUACAGUCCUGGGAUGGGGGUAUAAAAGCCCCCAUCCCAUGCUGUUCAACCCUUUGUCUUUUGCGUACUGUAUGUUUCCUCGGCGGGUUCGCCCGCCGAUAGGACACUUCAAAACCUUUUGUAAUUGCAAUCAGCGUCAGAAAAACUAUAAUAGUUACAACUUUCAACAACGGAUCUCUUGGUUCUGGCAUCGAUGAAGAACGCAGCGAAAUGCGAAAAGUAGUGUGAAUUGCAGAAUUCAGUGAAUCAUCGAAUCUUUGAACGCACAUUGCGCCCCUUGGUAUUCCAUGGGGCAUGCCUGUUCGAGCGUCAUUUGUACCCUCAAGCUCUGCUUGGUGUUGGGUGUUUGUCCCGCCUUCGCGCGUGGACUCGCCUUAAAGUGAUUGGCAGCCGGAAUAAUUCUGGGGAACGCAGCACAACUGCAGCCUCCAUUUUACGCCGAGCGUCCAGUAAGCCUUUUUUCAACGUUUGACCUCGGAUCAGGUAGGGAUACCCGCUGAACUUAAGCAUAUCAAUAA